rnacentral:rRNA from 1 species
CCUACGGGUGGCUGCAGUUAGGAAUUUUGCGCAAUGGGGGAAACCCUGACGCAGCAACGCCGCGUGAAGGAUGAAGGCUUUCGGGUUGUAAACUUCUUUUAGCAGGAAAGAAAAAAAUGACGGUACCUGCAGAAAAAGCACCGGCUAACUCUGUGCCAGCAGCCGCGGUAAUACAGAGGGUGCAAGCGUUAUUCGGAGUUACUGGGCGUAAAGAGCGCGUAGGCGGUUCGAUAAGUCCGAUGUGAAAGCCCUGGACUCAAUCCAGGAAGUGCAUC